UUUGGGUAGAGGGUGACUUAUUUUGUUUUUUUGAAAUUUUUUAUAUUAAAUUUAUUUCCAACAAUGGAAUGAAAAAAUUUCCUACAGAACAGAAAUUCUGACUUUUGACCAGCUCUAGAUAAACCAGAAGAGGAAAUGGGGAAGAUGGGAGAAAACAUAUCUACUGCACAGUAAAAUAAGGCCCUUACCUAUCUCUCAGCCACAAACCCUAUAUAACCUGAACACCAAAAUCUUUCCCUAAGAUUUGGAGGUACUUUGAGACCACAAGUUCAAAUCCAGAAACUGCUUUCUCUUGGUCUAGAAUUCUCCCACUUUACAGUAAGAAUACACACCAAUCAUUUGCCUUCAGGAAGUCUUCCAAUACCUUCCCACAAUUCCCUGCAAAAGGCAGACAAGUUUUCUCAUGUUAUUUUAGAAAAAAAAAUGAGCAUCUGAGUACAAAUGACACAUCCAGGUAAGUAUAAAAACAACAAGGAUGCAUGGGUACAGCUUUUCAGUGAGGACAUUUGCAAUACCGCAUCGCAGCAGUGUCCGUUUUGCUAUCAAGCAAUCUUACACAAAUGCAAAAAUCUAAAGAAAGCAUCCAUGUUUCUAUUUCCUGAUUCUAUAUGUGGUUUUCUGUAGGGGAAUAGUUUUCAUAAACCCCACAAAGACAUCUUCAUCUAGUAAUAAUACGAACAAUAUAAUUAAAAUUCUGCUCAGGAUGUAAAAAAACAAAACCCCACCACUAGGUGCUGGUGCAGCUUGACUAGAGUCAACUAAUUCCAACAUAGAAUUUCUGACAACUAUGGAAAAUUUGUUUAGCUUUAUGGAAUAUAGCAAGAAAGAAAGUUGUUCCUGAGUCUGGAUUCCCCCAGCACACAUCUUUGGUUUUUUGGAGGUUGAUGCAAUUGCAACUUAGGUCAGAUCAGGCUCUUGCAAAGGCUAUUUUUUAUUGCACAAUGCAGCUUACAGACAGCAAAAUACAGGCACAGUCCCAAACACUCCACAGCCUUUUAAAACCAAAAGCAGAUUACAAGACUUCCGGUUAUUGUGAGUACCACAGCAUGGUGACCUGCCUAUUAGGGGCCACAUAGCUGUGGUCACGAGCACUGCGCCCAAGCUAGUUGGCACUGUGCUAAGUCAUGUGAUGCUGAGAGAUGGAACCAAUUUGCUGGCCUGCCUGCACCGAUAUGCAAAUGUAGUUAAGGAAGUAACCCCAUGACUACUUCCAAAUGUGGAAGUGAUAUAGCCAUUUUCCUCGGCACCAUGAACUAUCAUGCAGAUCUAGAUGAGGCUGGACCAGAGCUGAAGUUUUCAAGCAAGAUGCAACUGCAUCAAGAUACUCAUAUGGCUCUUAUCGCACUGGGGGGGAAGGGGAGAGGGGCACUGAACAACACCCCAAAGAUUUAAUGUAUUGAUUCCUAGAGCAGUACACCAACCUAAGUCAGGAAGUAUUCUGGCUUUUCAGCAGGUUUAUAGCAAAGUACGGCCGGAAGGCACCUCAUGAGGCCCUGCUCCAGGCAAGGUAUCGAGGGAAGGACGGGUUGCUUCUUCCCUGCUCAGCAGUGGGCACCCACCCCGGAAGCCUGUGGGCACACAUCAUCACCCCGGUGCUGCGGUACUGGAAAGAAACACCAAGGUGGCUGGGGCAGGGUGGAUGCUGCCCGGGGCUGGGAAGCUCUGCCUUGCAGCCCUGGGUCAUCCCCACGUACAGCCCCACGCUGCCCAGAGCCUGAAGCUCAGCGUCCCGCUGCCGGGGAAGGCAGCACGCGAAGCGCCGGGCUGCUCCAGCUAGGCCUAUGCACUGAGGGCGCGCGGCUUCGCUGCCGCGCCACCUACCUUUACAGCCGCCAUGGCCGGAAAGAGG